AAAGAAAAUCCACCCAAUUUAAUAACAUGUUAUGUCCGUGUGCAAACUUAGAAAUGUUCUAAUACCCAAAGAUGCUUGUAAUACACUUAUUCUUUCACUUUUUAAAAUGUAAAUGAUCAACAAGGGUCAAAGAGUUACACUUAGCCCCCUGUCAGUGCUGGAUCAAAUUCCUUUGACAUGAACCCGUUAGAAUGAAGCUACCCCUCCAAUAAGGCUUCUUUCCCAUUCCCUCCCUCCCCUCAGGCUUAUCCCCAAACCCAACAAUGUCCAAGCCCUUAACACAAGGCCUGAGAAGGACACAGUGGAGAGGGAAAGGCAUGGAGAUAUACAUCUCUGAAAGCAAAGAGGUGUUAUCCUGCUUGAUACCACACCUCAGGGGUCAAUAUCCUAGUCUUCUGUACCCCGAGAUGGCAGCGUGAUAAUCCCUUCUCCAGUUCUUUAUGCUGCUUUCUACUCUUAAACUCUGCACCUUCUCUNNNNNNNNNNNNNNNNNNNNNNNNNNNNNNNNNNNCAUUUCUUCUCUGGUGGCCCCCAAAUCUAUAUCUGCAGCCUGGUCUUUUCUGAGCACCACAUCAAUAGACUCAAAUGACAUUAGGGUGUAUCCAUCUAGAUGUCACACAGGUAUCUCAAGGUUAAUUUAUUUUAAAUGGAUAAGGCCUUCCCUCCCAAAUCCUGUUUUCUACCUAAUAAUUGAGCAAGAAAAAAAUUUAAUUCCUUUGCCCUCAUUCCACCCUUAA
rnacentral:lncRNA from 1 species